GACGAACGCUGGCGGCGUGCUUAACACAUGCAAGUCGAACGCUGAAGACCUGGCUUUUGUUGGGUUGGAUGAGUGGCGAACGGGUGAGUAACACGUGAGUAACCUGCCCUCUUCUUUGGGAUAACGCCCGGAAACGGGUGCUAAUACUGGAUAUUCACUGGCCUUCGCAUGGGGGUUGGUGGAAAGGUUUGUUCUGGUGGGGGAUGGGCUCGCGGCCUAUCAGCUUGUUGGUGGGGUGAUGGCCUACCAAGGCUUUGACGGGUAGCAGGCCUGAGAGGGUGACCGGUCACAUUGGGACUGAGAUACGGCCCAGACUCCUACGGGAGGCAGCAGUGGGGAAUAUUGCACAAUGGGCGAAAGCCUGAUGCAGCGACGCCGCGUGAGGGAUGGAGGCCUUCGGGUUGUAAACCUCUUUCGCUCAUGGUCAAGCCGCGACUGUGGGUUGUGGUGAGGGUAGUGGGUAAAGAAGCGCCGGCUAACUACGUG
rnacentral:rRNA from 1 species